CGUGGAAUAUUAUCUUAGAGUGGGCUACACAGAAAGUAAUUUCUGUAUGAAUUCUGUCAAAUUCGGGGAAGCCUUUUGAACAAUGGUAAUCCCGAGCCAAGCUUCGAUAAUGUAUCGAAGAAGGUGUAGAGACUUAAUGGCAGACACCCGAAUCCCGCCGAUGGCGGGAAGGGUGAAGAGAAAGUCCAGACUCCAAACUCGGUUCGUC
rnacentral:ncRNA from 1 species